CAAAGUGCUCUUUCUCUAUCUCUUCUUUCCUUCUUUCCCUCUCUCUCUCCUCUCUUUCUCUCUUCUUUUUCUCUCUUUUUCUUUUUUUUCCCCCAGACCAGGUCUCACUCUGUCGCCCAAGAUGGAGUAUAGUGGCGCCAUCACAGCUCACUGCAGCUUCAACUUCCCAGGCCCCAGCAAUCCUCCCACCUCAGCCUCUGAGGAGCUGGGACCACAGGUGCACACCGCCACACUUGGCUAUUUUUUUUUAAUGUUUUUUUAGAGACGGGGUCUCACUAUGUUGCCCAGGCUGGUCUCCUGGGCUUGAGGGAUCUUCCCAUCUGAGCCUCCCAAGGUGCCAGGAUUACACACAUGAGCCACUGUGCC
rnacentral:lncRNA from 1 species